rnacentral:rRNA from 1 species
AGAGUUUGAUCCUGGCUCAGGACGAACGCUGGCGGCACGCUUAACACAUGCAAGUCGAACGAGAGAAGAGGAGCUUGCUUUUCUGAUCUAGUGGCGGACGGGUGAGUAACACGUGAGCAAUCUGCCUUUCAGAGGGGGAUACCGAUUGGAAACGAUCGUUAAUACCGCAUAACAUAAUUGAACCGCAUGAUUUGAUUAUCAAAGAUUUAUCGCUGAAAGAUGAGCUCGCGUCUGAUUAGCUAGUUGGUAAGGUAACGGCUUACCAAGGCGACGAUCAGUAGCCGGACUGAGAGGUUGAUCGGCCACAUUGGGACUGAGACACGGCCCAGACUCCUACGGGAGGCAGCAGUGGGGAAUAUUGCACAAUGGAGGAAACUCUGAUGCAGCGAUGCCGCGUGAGGGAAGAAGGUUUUAGGAUUGUAAACCUCUGUCUUCAGGGACGAAAAAAGACGGUACCUGAGGAGGAAGCUCCGGCUAACUACGUGCCAGCAGCCGCGGUAAUACGUAGGGAGCGAGCGUUGUCCGGAAUUACUGGGUGUAAAGGGAGCGUAGGCGGGAUCGCAAGUCAGAUGUGAAAACUAUGGGCUUAACCCAUAAACUGCAUUUGAAACUGUGGUUCUUGAGUGAAGUAGAGGUAAGCGGAAUUCCUAGUGUAGCGGUGAAAUGCGUAGAUAUUAGGAGGAACAUCAGUGGCGAAGGCGGCUUACUGGGCUUUAACUGACGCUGAGGCUCGAAAGCGUGGGGAGCAAACAGGAUUAGAUACCCUGGUAGUCCACGCCGUAAACGAUGAUUACUAGGUGUGGGGGGACUGACCCCUUCCGUGCCGCAGCAGACGCAAUAAGUAAUCCACCUGGGGAGUACGACCGCAAGGUUGAAACUCAAAGGAAUUGACGGGGGCCCGCACAAGCAGUGGAGUAUGUGGAUUAAUUCGAAGCAACGCGAAGAACCUUACCAGGUCUUGACAUCGUAUGCAUAGCUCAGAGAUGAGUGAAAUCUCUUCGGAGACAUAUAGACAGGUGGUGCAUGGUUGUCGUCAGCUCGUGUCGUGAGAUGUUGGGUUAAGUCCCGCAACGAGCGCAACCCUUACUGUUAGUUGCUACGCAAGAGCACUCUAGCAGGACUGCCGUUGACAAAACGGAGGAAGGUGGGGAUGACGUCAAAUCAUCAUGCCCCUUAUGACCUGGGCCUCACACGUACUACAAUGGCUGUCAACAGAGGGAAGCAAAGCCGCGAGGUGGAGCGAACCCCUAAAAGCAGUCUUAGUUCGGAUUGUAGGCUGCAACCCGCCUACAUGAAGUCGGAAUUGCUAGUAAUCGCAGAUCAGCAUGCUGCGGUGAAUACGUUCCCGGGCCUUGUACACACCGCCCGUCACGCCAUGGGAGUCGGUAACACCCGAAGCCUGUAGUCUAACCGCAAGGAGGACGCAGUCGAAGGUGGGAUUGAUGACUGGGGUGAAGUCGUAACAAGGUA